AGGGGUGUAGCUCAGUGGUAGAGCACUUGCCUAGCAUACAUGCACACCCCUG
rnacentral:tRNA from 1 species